rnacentral:rRNA from 1 species
UACGUAGGGACCGAGCGUUGUUCGGAUUGACUGGGCGUAAAGGGCGUGUAGGCGGUUGGUCAAGUCUGAUGUGAAAGCCCGGGGCUCAGCCCCGGAAGGGCAUCGGAAACUAGCCAGCUGGAGCGCGAUAGAGGAGGGUGGAAUUCCUGGUGUAGCGGUGAAAUGCGUAGAUAUCAGGAGGAACACCGGCGGCGAAGGCGGCCCUCUGGAUCGUUGCUGACGCUGAGACGCGAAAGCGUGGGGGAGCAAACAGG